GACGAACGCUGGCGGCGUGCUUAACACAUGCAAGUCGUACGGUAAGGCCCUUUCGGGGGUACACGAGUGGCGAACGGGUGAGUAACACGUGAGUAACCUGCCCACAACUUUGGGAUAACGCUAGGAAACUGGUGCUAGUACUGGAUAUGUGCUCCUGCUGCAUGGUGGGGGUUGGAAAGCUCCGGCGGUUGUGGAUGGACUCGCGGCCUAUCAGCUUGUUGGUGGGGUAGUGGCCUACCAAGGCGGCGACGGGUAGCCGGCCUGGGAGGGUGACCGGCCACAUUGGGACUGAGAUAAGGCCCAGACUCCUAAGGGAGGCAGCAGUGGGGAAUAUUGCACAAUGGGCGCAAGCCUGAUGCAGCAACGCCGCGGGCGGGAUGACGGCCUUCGGGUUGUAAACCGCUUUCAGCAGGGACGAAGCUUUUUGUGACGGUACCUGCAGAAGAAGCACCGGCUAACUACGUG
rnacentral:rRNA from 1 species